rnacentral:rRNA from 1 species
CAGUCGCCACGGUAAAACGUAGGGUGCAAGCGUUAUCCGGAAUUAUUGGGCGUAAAGAGCUCGUAGGCGGUUUGUCGCGUCUGUCGUGAAAGUCCGGGGCUCAACUCCGGAUCUGCGGUGGGUACGGGCAGACUAGAGUGAUGUAGGGGAGACUGGAAUUCCUGGUGUAGCGGUGGAAUGCGCAGAUAUCAGGAGGAACACCGAUGGCGAAGGCAGGUCUCUGGGCAUUAACUGACGCUGAGGAGCGAAAGCAUGGGGAGCGAACAGGAUUAGAUACCCCCGUAGUCCCUGUCUCUUUACC